GCUCAUAAAGAAAAAAACAUACGUUUCAUCAAAGUAGAAGGAGAACUUUUCUUUGGGGC
rnacentral:sRNA from 1 species